AGCAGCCGCGGUAAUUCCAGCUCCAAUAGCGUAUAUUAAAGUUGUUGCAGUUAAAAAGCUCGUAGUUGAAUUUCGGGAUCAGUACGCUGGUCGUGCCUUUGGUAUGUACUGGUGUCACUGAUUCCUCCCUUCUGAAGAACCGUUAUGCCAUUUAUUUGGUGUGGCGGGAAAUCAGGACUGUUACUUUGAAAAAUUAGAGUGUUUAAAGCAGGCUCGCGCUUGAAUACAUUAGCAUGGAAUAAUGAAAUAGGACGUUUGAUCUUAUUUUGUUGGUUUCUAGGAUCGACGUAAUGAUUAAUAGGGAUAGUUGGGGGCAUUAGUAUUCAAUUGUCAGAGGUGAAAUUCUUGGAUUUAUUGAAGACUAACUACUGCGAAAGCAUUUGCCAAGGAUGUUUUCAUUAAUCAAGAACGAAAGUUAGGGGAUCGAAGACGAUCAGAUACCGUCGUAGUCUUAACCAUAAACUAUGCCGACUAGGGAUCGGAUGAUGUUAAUUUUUUAAUGACUCAUUCGGCGCCUUAC
rnacentral:rRNA from 1 species